rnacentral:snRNA from 1 species
GGAUGUGAGGGCAAUCUGGCUUCGACAUCUGUCACCCCAUUGAUCGCCAGGGUUGAUUUGACUCAUCUGGCUGGCUAGGCGGGUGUCCCCUUCCUCCCUCACAGUUCCAUGUGGGUCCCUCCCAAAGCUGUGCGCUCGGUGGAAGAGGACCACCAUCCCCAAUACAGGAGGACCGUUCUUCAGUCAAGGGUAUACAAGUAGCUGCGCUCCCCUGCUAGAACCUCCAUACAAGCUCUCAAGAGAGCUGCAAUAAACAUAGCUAUGCAGGGAUCUCCCUUGUAUAUUGAUUUACACUCCUUUGGAUAUAUGUCCAAGAGUG